rnacentral:rRNA from 1 species
CGCGUAGGCGGUGCUCUAAGUCCCGUGUGAAAUCCCCCGGCUCAACUGGGGAAUGGCACGGGAAACUGGAGUGCUUGAGUUCGGGAGAGGGAAGCGGAAUUCCGGGUGUAGCGGUGAAAUGCGUAGAUAUCCGGAGGAACACCGGUGGCGAAGGCGGCUUCCUGGACCGACACUGACGCUGAGGCGCGAAAGCUAGGGGAGCAGACG